CCUACGGGUGGCAGCAGUGGGGGAUAUUGCACAAUGGGGGCAACCCUGAUGCAGCGACGCCGCGUGAGCGAUGGAGUACUUCGGUAUGUAAAGCUCUGUCAGCAGGGAAGAGAAUGACGGUACCUGACCAAGAAGCCCCGGCUAAAUACGUGCCAGCAGCCGCGGUAAUACGUAUGGGGCAAGCGUUAUCCGGAUUUACUGGGUGUAAAGGGAGCGUAGGCGGCAGGGCAAGGCUGAAGUGAAAGCCCGGGGCUCAACCCCGGGACUGCAUUUGAAACUGUAGUUCUUGAGUGUUGGAGAGGCAGGCGGAAUUCCGUGUGUAGCGGUGAAAUGCGUAGAUAUACGGAGGAACACCAGUGGCGAAGGCGGCCUGCUGGACAAUAACUGACGCUGAGGCGCGAAAGCGUGGGGAGCAAACAGGAUUAGAUACCCUAGUAGUC
rnacentral:rRNA from 1 species